rnacentral:rRNA from 1 species
GACGAAGGUGGCUAGCGUUGUUCGGAAUCACUGGGCUUAAAGAGCACGUAGGCGUCCUGUUAAGUGUCUUGUGAAAUCCCCCGGCUCAACCGGGGAACCGCUGGGCAUACUGGCAGGAUGGAGGCAGGUAUGGGUGCAUGGAACUCUUGGUGGAGCGGUGAAAUGCGUAGAUAUCAAGAGGAACGCCGGAGGUGAAGACGAUGCACUGGGCCUGUCCUGACGCUGAGGUGCGAAAGCCAGGGGAGCAAACGGG